rnacentral:rRNA from 1 species
GACGAACGCUGGCGGCGUGCUUAACACAUGCAAGUCGAACGGAAAGGCCCUGCUUUUGUGUGGUGCUCGAGUGGCGAACGGGUGAGUAACACGUGAGUAACCUGCCCUUUACUUUGGUAUAACUUCAGGAAACUUCGGCUAAUACCGUAUAGGCUCUCCUGCUGCAUGGUGGGGGUUGGAAAGUUUCGUCGGUUGGGGAUGGACUCGCGGCUUAUCAGCUUGUUGGUGAGGUAGUGGCUUACCAAGGCUUUGACGGGUAGCCGGCCUGAGAGGGUGACCGGCAACAUUGGGACUGAGAUACGGCCCAGACUCCUACGGGAGGCAGCAGUGGGGAAUAUUGCACAAUGGGCGGAAGCCUGAUGCAGCAACGCCGCGUGCGGGAUGACGGCCUUCGGGUUGUAAACCGAUUUCGACUGUGACGAAGCGUGAGUGACGGUAAUGGGUAAAGAAGCACCGGCUAACUACGUG